CGGUGGGGUGUUUUUUUUUCUUGUACCGGUCGGGUCGGGUGGGCUUCGAUCUCAGGAACAUCUUCAUCGGGCCCUAUAUAGGGCUGGCCGUGAUCCAAAUAACUAUUCUGAUCCUAGGAUCAGAAUAGUGCUACUAUAUAUAUAUAUAUAUUUGCCGAACUGCAGGAAGCAAGUACAGUCAGGAGAAGGAGGCGCUACAGAAGCAAACUGAGUUCAGGUCUGAGUACGAGAACUCAGGCAAGCUCUCCUUGAUCAUACUGAGUAGAACUUAAAAAAACACUAUUCUCUGCUAUCUUAUCAUCAACUUGCAUAAAAUGUUUUUGAAUAAAUCGUGUGGAGUGAAUGUUGGUGAAUAUUUGGGUUAGCUGAUGGAGCAGCUAAUCCAUUCUUUUUAUAUAAAUAUUUGGUGGGUAGAGGGUGCCCGGAAUGGACAUACUGGAAGGUGGGGUCCUCUACAUAUGGCUAUGAUAUUAAGAUUAAAUAACUUUCACUCGUUUUAUGCGUCGUACAACCGUAUCAACCAUGGUCUCGUCUAAGACGGGUUGAGCCCAUUACCCAUCAAGUUAUUAUACUCUCCACAUGGGUAAGUAGUAGUAGGAUGGGCGAUGAGUUCCCAAGCUAAUGCCGGAUGGGUGCAUUAGCAAGCGCUAUAUAUUAAGCGUUGGUGGAGUGCAGGUUCCGAAACCCGACACAACGGCUAGUAACCACUAGCCAGGUGGAGAUAUAAUAUACAUAAUGGGAAAAAGCUUAGGUUCUGAACCAUGUCUCGCAUCUAAGGAAAUGCAGAUGGCAAUUAUGGUUUCGAGCUCUAUGGGUAAAGUGAUACAAACUCUGCAGAGUUAAAGCAAACAUGAAUUCAUGCCAGUCUCUUGGAUUGGAGACUACGGGGACCUAUUGGUGGUUCUAUCUCGCAAUACGAGUGUUUGAUAGCUUUUAUAAUUUAAAAUGGACUUUCUGCAACAAAUGUUCUUUUUUAAACGGGGUUGAGUUGAGGUAGGACUUGUUGAUUUAUAUUGAGCUAUCAUGAGUGUUGCAUUCUUCUAUUUGAGCUUGCUGAAUACCUUGUACUCACUCUUGCUAUUAAUCAUUUUUUUCUUAGAGCAAAGCUUGUAUGAGAAUCCUACUAGACCAAGUGAGGAGAGCAAUGGUGAUGGCUACAACUACACAGGGGACCUAGAUGUGGAUCCAUCUAGUGCUAUGUACAAUUUGUAUGCCACAUAUGGGGGUUGGGAUGAAUAAGUAACUUAUGAUCUAGCUAUGUAAUCUAGAAACUAUUUUAUCACCACCUAUCUAGUAUUGCUAGUUGGAACUCCAAUGUUAGUAGUUGUAAUAAUUUGGUGGACAUGUGAGAAGCCUACUUGAGACUUGUUGCCCUGCG
rnacentral:lncRNA from 1 species